AUGGAUCCAGCCCCCGCCGACGAGAACCCCCUCGCCGCCCUCUCUCUCCGCGGGUCCGAUCUGCCCGCGCACUUCGCUGCCGGCCACGAGAUCGACGAGGAGGACGAGGACGAUGGAUAUGCAACGGCCGCCGCGUGGAGGGAGGGGCUCGAUGAAGAGGACGGCGGCGCCGCCUCUCCCAGCCCCAGAAGCAGCCUCGCCUCCAGCACCGGCGCCGGCGGCAUCGAGGAGCCCGACGCCGCCCCGCCCCUCGCCCCCAGCGCCGAGGACUGGGCGCAGGGCAAGAAGCACGCCGACGAGGAUGAUGGUUCAGCUUCAUGGAGGAAGAGGAAAAAACAUUUCUUCAUCUUGAGCAAUUCCGGCAAGCCAAUAUACUCUAGGUAUGGAGAUGAGCACAAGUUAGCUGGAUUUUCUGCUACAUUGCAGGCGAUUGUUUCUUUUGUUGAGGACAGUGCUGACCAUAUCAAAUUUGUGAGAGCUGGAAAACAUCAGAUAGUUUUCCUUGUGAAAGGUCCUAUAUAUUUAGUUUGUAUAAGCUGCACCGAAGAGUCAUUUGAAGGAUUGAGGGGACAACUAGAGCUCAUGUAUGGCCAGAUGUUGCUUAUUUUGACAAAGUCGGUCAACAGGUGCUUUGAGAAGAAUCCCAAAUUUGAUAUGGCACCGCUUCUAGGUGGCACAGAUGUGGUUUUCCGAUCUCUUAUACAUGCGUUCAGCUGGAAUCCUGCUACAUUUCUUCAUGCAUACACAUGCCUUCCCCUUGCCCAAGCAACAAGACAGGCUGCUAGCACAGCUUUGCAGGACAUUGCUGAUUCAGGUGUUCUAUUUGCACUGUUGAUGUGUGAUCACAAGGUUAUUAGUCUUGUGGGAGCACAAAAGGCAACUUUGCAUCCUGAUGAUAUAUUACCACUUGCAAAUUUCAUAUUGUCCUCCGAAUCUUUUAGGACUUCAGAGUCUUUUUCACCCAUAUGCUUGCCAAGAUACAAUCCUAUGGCCUUCUUAUACGCUUAUGUUCAUUUUUUUGAUGAAAAUACUUACUUGACUCUUCUUACUCCGAGAUCAGAUGCCUUUUAUGAUUUGAAAGAUUCAAGGGCCCGUAUUCAGGAUGUUCUAUUGAAAUCGAAUGUCCUUCUCGAAGUACAAAGGUCUUUACAUGAAAAUGUACUGCAUGUUGAAGAUGUCCCUAUUGAUCUUUCUUCUCAAUCUACAUCAGCUCCUGCACAGUCUUCUCAAGGCCUAAAUUCUCAACCGUUGUCUUCUGAUGAGGCAAUUGGUGGACCAGCUGGACUGUGGCAUUUUGUAUACAAAAGUGUUUAUCUUGACCAGUAUGUAUCAUCUGAGUUUGCCUUGCCCAUAAGAAAUCCAAAGCAACAGAAGAGAUUGUACAAGGCUUAUCAAAAGGUUUAUGCUUCCAUGCAUGAUAAAGCAACUGGUCCACACAGAACUCAAUUCAGAAGACAUGAGGAUUAUGUUAUGUUUAGCUGGAUAACCCAGGAUUUUGAGCUGUAUGCCGCCUUCAGUCCACUGGCUGACAAGACCCAAGCGAUUAAGGUAUGCAACAGAGUAUGCCAGUGGAUCAGGGAUCUACAAGACACACUGUUCAUACAUGGAGAAAGCACCAUUGCCUGGUGA
rnacentral:rRNA from 1 species